UGACGAGUCGAGUUGUUUGGGAAUGCAGCUCUAAGCGGGUGGUAAAUUCCAUCUAAGGCUAAAUACUGGCGAGAGACCGAUAGCGAACAAGUACUGUGAAGGAAAGAUGAAAAGCACUUUGAAAAGAGAGUGAAACAGCACGUGAAAUUGUUGAAAGGGAAGGGUAUUGCGCCCGACAUGGAGCGUGCGCACCGCUGCCCCUCGUGGGCGGCGCUCUGGGCGUGCUCUGGGCCAGCAUCGGUUUUUGCCGCGGGAGAAGGGCGGCGGGCAUGUAGCUCUUCGGAGUGUUAUAGCCUGCCGCCGGCGCCGCGAGCGGGGACCGAGGACUGCGACUUUUGUCUCGGAUGCUGGCACAACGGCGCAACACCGCCCGUCUUGAAACAUGGACCAAGGAGUCUAACGUCUAUGCGAGUGUUUGGGUGUGAAACCCCGGGCGCGUAAUGAAAGUGAACGUAGGUCGGACCGCUCCUCUCGGGGGGCGGGCACGAUCGACCGAUCCUGAUGUCUUCGGAUGGAUUUGAGUAAGAGCAUAGCUGUUGGGACCCGAAAGAUGGUGAACUAUGCCUGAAUAGGGUGAAGCCAGAGGAAACUCUGGUGGAGGCUCGUAGCGGUUCUGACGUGCAAAUCGAUCGUCGAAUUUGGGUAAGGGGCGAAAGACUAAUCGAAC
rnacentral:rRNA from 1 species